rnacentral:rRNA from 1 species
GUUGUUGGGUAGGGGAGCGUUCUGUAAGCCUGUGAAGGUGUACUGUGAGGUAUGCUGGAGGUAUCAGAAGUGCGAAUGCUGACAUAAGUAACGAUAAAGCGGGUGAAAAGCCCGCUCGCCGGAAGACCAAGGGUUCCUGUCCAACGUUAAUCGGGGCAGGGUGAGUCGACCCCUAAGGCGAGGCCGAAAGGCGUAGUCGAUGGGAAACAGGUUAAUAUUCCUGUACUUGGUGUUACUGCGAAGGGGGGACGGAGAAGGCUAUGUUGGCCGGGCGACGGUUGUCCCGGUUUAAGCGUGUAGGCUGGUUUUCCAGGCAAAUCCGGAAAAUCAAGGCUGAGGCGUGAUGACGAGGCACUACGGUGCUGAAGCAACAAAUGCCCUGCUUCCAGGAAAAGCCUCUAAGCAUCAGGUAACAUCAAAUCGUACCCCAAACCGACACAGGUGGUCAGGUAGAGAAUACCAAGGCGCUUGAGAGAACUCGGGUGAAGGAACUAGGCAAAAUGGUGCCGUAACUUCGGGAGAAGGCACGCUGAUAUGUAGGUGAAGUCCCUCGCGGAUGGAGCUGAAAUCAGUCGAAGAUACCAGCUGGCUGCAACUGUUUAUUAAAAACACAGCACUGUGCAAACACGAAAGUGGACGUAUACGGUGUGACGCCUGCCCGGUGCCGGAAGGUUAAUUGAUGGGGU